rnacentral:rRNA from 1 species
UACGUAGGGCGCAAGCGUUAUCCGGAAUUAUUGGGCGUAAAGAGCUCGUAGGCGGUUUGUCGCGUCUGCCGUGAAAGUCCGGGGCUCAACUCCGGAUCUGCGGUGGGUACGGGCAGACUAGAGGUAUGCAGGGGAGAUUGGAAUUCCUGGUGUAGCGGUGGAAUGCGCAGAUAUCAGGAGGAACACCGAUGGCGAAGGCAGAUCUCUGGGCCGUAACUGACGCUGAGGAGCGAAAGCAUGGGGAGCGAACAGG